rnacentral:rRNA from 1 species
GGAGUUUGGGCCGUGUCUCAGUCCCAAUGUGGCCGGUCACCCUCUCAGGUCGGCUACGGAUCAUCACCUUGGUGGGCCGUUACCUCACCAACUAGUUAAUCCGACGCGGGCCCAUCCUCCACCGAUAAAUCUUUCCGCCCAGGACCAUGCGGUCCCGUGCGCAUAUGCGGUAUUAACAGUCGUUUCCAACUGUUAUCCCCCAGUGAAGGGCAGGUUACCCACGUGUUACUCACCCAUCCGCCGCUAAACCGAUAAGAUCAUCUAAUGAAUCUCUUAACGGUUCCGCUCGACUUGCAUGUGUUAGGCACGCCGCCAGCGUUCAUC